rnacentral:lncRNA from 1 species
CUUCAUUUUCCUGUUGCGGUCCUUGCCAUCCGCUGCCAUGCCUCCUCUCCGCCACGCCUCCCCAUCAUUAUGGAGAUGGACUUGUCUUGGAACCAUAAGCCAAAUAAAGCCUUCCUUGUCCAGGCCUGCUUGAACCAAUAUUGCGACUGAAAUUUGUCGUAGGCUGGGGCAUUUGCUGGAACAGGAAAUGGAGAACAUUACGGCAGAGUGAAGCCCUUUUGUUUCCAGGUCGAAGCUGUUGUGUUUGUAAAGAAAAGGAAGCGGAGAACAGGCUGGCGCUGGUAUCAUUAUUUCCCCCUUCCUGAAUAUUUCCUACCAAGCAACUGCUUUGGAAAUAACAAAAUGAUUUCACUAUGGGAAAAAAUGCAGAGAAAAGAAUCCGGGGCUGUUUGAUUGGCUAAUAAUGAACAUAAAGGACUUCGUGCUUGUUGAAUGGCAGAUUGAAAUCCAGCUAGUUGGUGAGAACAUUCCAGGGUUCCAUGGGUGGCUUUCCGGAUUGCCUCUAGGACUUGCUUCUGGAGAGCAGAAUAGGAGCAAUAAAACAAAAAGAAGUUAUAUUUACAAUCUUAGACAUAAAAAUUUAUAGCAAGAAAACCCAUAAAGAUUGUACCUAUUGUCUGUGUACCCUAUUCCACCGUUUGCAUUGAGGAGAGACAGAAAUCAGAGGUGUGUUCAGCCUGAAUUGUCUGUUCCCCAUGUGUGCAUCCUACACAUCCAGGGACAUGUGUGCAUCCAGGGACAACAGGGAAGAGUACUGGAUUCCCUGGGACUGGAGUUACAGACAGCUAGAACUACCACAGGGGUCCUGGAAACCAAACCAAGAUCCACUGCAGGAGCAGCACGUGCUCUCAAUUGAUGAACUGGCUCUCUAAUCUCACCUUGAUGGACUUAGUCCAGGGGAGUUGACCUUCCCUUCACUUGUGGCACUGUAGUUUGUGCAUGAUCACAGUAGUCUAGGCCUCCAGUCAACAGGACAGAAACUGCCAACUGGAAGUUUUUCCAUGUUGGAAAUACAACUGUGAGACCCAGAGCCUGGAAUUCCUGGCACAAGAACAUUUUCCCCAGAUUGCUUUAUAAUUAUUUCUUCAAGUGUCUGCCUCCUGACUAACGUGACAUGUGGAGCGAGUCACCGGUCAGAGUCUUCCUUGUCUCCAAAGCGCUUGGCAAGAUGCCUGAUAGCAAAUAUUUAUCGAAUACCAUCUGGGUGCCAAAGAACUCCUCCAGGGACCGCAGAAACUGCAAGGGAAACACUCCUGCUCUUGCCGAGAGAUGGCAGAUCCCUUGCGUGGCCAUUCGAUGCCUAUGUCUGGACACAGUGUAAGGACUAAGUCUUUUUGAUCUAGUGAAGACGGUCAAGUUUCAUGAGUUUUGUCUCUGCAUUAAGUGGAAGAUGCUACGAAGGGAACAAACCCUGGAGACGUGGAACUGCUGCUUCCUGGACUUAGCCAUGCUCAUCCUACUUUAAAAGCCUUCAGGUGUCUGAGACAUGUGGAUUUCCAGUCCUGUAUAACACUGCUUGUCCAUCCUCUGCACACAUUCAGCUUCUCUCAAUACUUGUUCAAGGAUGAUAAAGGGGUUUAAGUGCCUUUGGCCACAGAAAGAAAUGGGUAAGUUUGUUGAGAAUGUAUGUAGCCCAAGUUCAUGUAAAAACACAUGUAUCAUGGAACACGUAUGUCUUCAGAAGCCAGCAGACAACUUUGUGUAGUGAUUGUAACCUCACAUGUUACCACCGGACCAGCCUGGACCCAUCUCCUUUGGUCUUAUGGGAUGUGCUUCCAUCUGAAUAACAUUGGCAAUAUUUCUUUUUAGAAGAAUGUGGUAGGGUUGUUUUCUUUUUUAAUUUCAAAUAACACCACUCCUUGAACUGGGAACAAACAAUUCACUUGCAUCUCAGCUCUGCAUUUAUUUGUAAUUUUCACAUAAAUCAACUUAUAUGAAAAUGUAUUCAUAAUUUG